rnacentral:rRNA from 1 species
UACAGAGGUCUCGAGCGUUGUUCGGAUUCAUUGGGCGUAAAGGGCGCGUAGGCGGCGGGGUAAGUCUGGUGUGAAAUCUCGGAGCUCAACUCCGAAAUUGCACUGGAUACUGCUCUGCUAGAGGGCUGGAGAGGGAUGCAGAAUUCCAGGUGUAGCGGUGAAAUGCGUAGAUAUCUGGAGGAAUACCGGUGGCGAAGGCGGCAUCCUGGACCGACAUUGACGCUGAGGAGCGAAAGCUAGGGGAGCAAACGGG